rnacentral:rRNA from 1 species
AACGAACGCUGGCGGCAUGCCUAACACAUGCAAGUCGAACGAUACCUUCUGGUCUUGUUGCGCACGGGUUCGUAACGCGAGGGAACCUUCCCUUAUGUUCGGUAUAACUCCCCGAAAGGGGUGCUAAUACCGGAUAAUUUCUUCUGCCCAAAGAUUUAUCUCCUUUGGAUGGGCCCGCGUUGGAUUAGCUAGUUGGUAGGGUAAAAGCCUACCAAGGCGACGAUCCAUAGCUGGUCUGAGAGGAUGAUCAGCCACACUGGGACUGAGACACGGCCCAGACUCCUACGGGAGGCAGCAGUGGGGAAUAGUGGACAAUGGGCGAAAGACUGAGCCAGCAAUGCCGCGUGAGUGAUGAAGGCCUUAGGGUUGUAAAGCUCUUUUAACCGGGAUGAUAAUGACAGUACCGGGAGAAUAAGCGCCGGCUAACUCCGUG